GUUCCAAGCGUGGGUCGCAUCCUCGCGACUGCAGUCAAAGCUGCUAGGUGAAGCAACCACGCUCUGUUCUGGUGGCCACGGGUCACCCGCCGCCUCUCAGGACGAGCUUAUCAGCCUCCUCCGUUUGCUUGUUCAGCAACAUGUUCAUUAUAUAACUCCAAAACGCAGCGGAUUUGACAGGUCGCUGCAGGCUUGUGGCUCAACGCGCCUCUUUAUCUGUCUUGGAUGAAGCGGAUUCUUAUUCUUUCUUUCGGCAUUCAUGGUUAUACGUGCGAAAUUAGUAGCCGUUUUUGCUUUCAACAAGAGUGAGGUCAAAGUUUUGUUUCAGGAAUGGCAUAGUUGCUAACCACUAGCCAGGCUAUGGAGGGAAAGCUGACUGGCCUUAGAUAAUCUGGAGUUCGUGACCAGGUUCUCUUUGGCAAUACAUGGGCUGUCAAAUUCAGUGUAUUUGAUCAAAUAAAACGGAGGGCAAGUCGAUUUCUUUUACCCCCCUCCGUUAUUUUUGAGGUGUGAACUGAUUCUUAGGGGACGGAUUACAAUUUGCAAUUUGCAUUAUGGGAUGUAUUAAUUUCAAUUUUCUUAAUCCAUGGUAAAUUAGUACACUUAAUUAGUUCAACUGGGGAGAAGGUAAACAGCUUGAACUAGAGAUAAAAUGCGCACACGAAAAAAAAAGUAAAUUAGUACACUUAAUUAGUUCAACUGGGGAUGUACUAGUUUCAAUUUUCUUAAUCCUUUGGCCUUGUUUCAUCUAUAUAUUUCAGAUCACAUCUGAAAACAUUGUAUAGUCUAUUUUUUUUGAAGGUCAUCUUAUAGUCUACUUGGCUAUUUCAAGGGCAUUUCAGGUGCUUAUGAUGUUUCAUGCCACUGAAGAAAGGGAGAACAAGCUUCUUAUGCUGUACAUUGGGUUGUAUAUUGCAAUGUGUAUGUUGAUGCACACACUGGGAAUCUGGGAUGACCUGAUUAUUGCCGAGCACAAGGCCUUGUAGGUAAAAUAUCUUAUACUGUUUACUUGGUUUUCAUUUGAAUUCUUGCUAAGGAGCCACAUCACCUUUCUACAGAAUCAAAGCACAUAAUAGCUCAAAUCAGAUAAGCUAAAGUACAAAAACCAUUACUGUGCGAUUUUGCAUUAUAUUACGAAUACCUGAGAAUAAAUAUACAAUAUAGUUAAGGGAGAUCUUCAUGCCUUGGAAGACUGCUAUAUAUAUCAUCAUCACUAGCUUCUAAAAAAAUAUCACUUGAAUAUAUAUUUUACUGUUACAUGUCCUAAUGCAUAGACUGAAUCUCGUGAUGGCUCCUUUUUAAGAUAUAUUCUCUAUGAAGGAUAGAGUUGUAGCACGUAGCGAGGCAUCUACUAAUUAUACUCCUCAACUUAUUCUAGUUUAUUCCGAACAACACAUUAAGGAUAACAGUAUGGUAGCUCCUGGUAGGAGCAAGAGACAAAGGACUGAAAAAUCGUUUAGUAAUGACUUUAUUUUUUAUCUUGUGGAUGAUACACCAAACACCCUUGCAAAGGCAUAUGCAUCACCAGAUGCAGAGCGUUGGAAGGAGGCAUUUCAUAAUGAAAUGGAGUCCAUUCUAACAAAUGAGACUUGAGAAAUAUGUGAUUUACCAGUUGGGUGUAAACAUAUGGGGUGUAAAUGGAUAUUCAAGAAAAACUAAAACCAGAUGGUACUGUCGAUAAAUACAAGGCUAGACUUGUGGCCAAUUAAUGGAUUUACCCAAAAGAAAGGUGAGUAUUAUUUUGAUAACUAUUCACCAAUUACCAGAUUGAUCACAAUUCAUGUGCUAAUUGACCUUGCUGCAAGUCAUGAUCUACUCAUCCAUCAAAUGGAUGUAAAGACAAAUUUCCUUAAUGAUGAGCUUGAUGAGGACAUCUAUAUGAAGCAGCUAGAGGGAUUUAUGACACAUGGAUAGAAGAACAGCAGGCUUGUGGUAAACGAAGCUGACACUUGUGUGUACUAUCGGUUUGUUGGUAGUAAGGGAGUAAUAUUGUGCUUAUAUGUGUAUGACAUAUUAAUCUCUGUGACUAGUAUUGAUGUGAUAAAUGAUGUAGAAUUAUUUUUAUCUCAAAAUUUUGAUACGAAAGAUAUCGGCAUGCCCUACGACAAGGUAGGUGAAGACGCGGCCAUGCCAGUGAUCGCCAUCGAGGACGAGACGUAGCUUCCCGACACGAUAGCAGAUGGUGGCGACCAUGGCCGGGACCCUAUGCCUAAGAUUUCUUCUUCCCGCGUCAGCUAAAGGAAGAAGGGUUAUAUGAAGAAGGAUGCCCUCAACUCGCAUCGCCGCCGGCGGCCUCCGCAAAGUGUCGGUCGCAAAAGGGAAAAGGCCACUCCAAUCCGUGGCCGACCAAGCCAAGCGUGGUGCCUCCCAAACCCGCCGGCCACCGUUCCAGGCGCGGGGCGCAUUCUGGCGACUGCAGUCAAAGCUGCUAGGCAAAGCAACCACACUUUGCUCUCGUGGCCACCACCCGCCGCCUCUCAGGCCGAGCUUAUCAGCCUCCUCUGUUUGCUUGUUCAGCAACAUGUUCAUUAUAUAACUCCAAAAUGCAGCGGAUUUGACAGGUCGCUGCAUUUCAGGUGUUUAUGAUGUUUCAUGCCACUGAAGAAAGGGUGAACAAGCUUCUUAUGCUGUACAUUGGGUUGGAUAUUGCAAUGUGUAUUUUGAUGCACACACUGGGAUGACCUGAUUAUUGCAAAGCACAAGGCCAGAUGUGAUGUGGCAGAUCGGCAAUGCAAAUAUGUCAAUUUGUUGACAUAACGCCUUGUUACCUUCUAACAUGACUGCAUUAGAAUUUGUGAAGAUACCACUGGUUGGAAUUGGUCCUUCUAGUCUGUUGUAUGAUAGAUUAAGAUAAUCUAAGGUACUGAAGUUCUCGAAGAAAUCUGGAAUUUGACCAGAUAAGAUGUUUUCAGAGAGAUCCAUGUGUUGUAUGCCCUUCAGUGUAUUGAGAGACUGUGGAAUAACCCCAUCGAGCAUGUUGCCUUCCAUCUGAAGGGAUAACAAUAAAACACACUGCCCAAGUUCAGAUGGUAUUUCACCAGAUAACUUGUUGCUGGAAACAUUCAGUAAGCCAAGAUUGAUCAGUUUUCCAAUCUGUGAUGGUAUUGUUCCUAUAAGAUUGUUGUUUGAUAAGUCCAACCCCAAAGAAAGCGAAGAAAUACUGAGGAUUUCACUUGGUAUGGAUCCAUUAAGGCUAUUGACUGAUAAAUUUAACAUAGCCAACCUUGUGCACUGCACUAGUUGUGCUGGUAUGCGUCCAGAUAACGUAUUGUCAUCCAGGUAAAGCUGGAUCAGUUGAGGGAGAUAGCCAAUUCUGGCUGGGAUUUCACCUGACAAGCUGUUUGUGGACAGUGCCAGGACAACCAAAUUUGAUAAAUUCCCAAUAGUCCAGGGAAUGAUUCCUGAAAGCAUGUUUUGGUCCAUGGCAAGUUUUGUGAGACUCACAAGUUUUCCUAUCUCAGGUGGUAUAGUUCCUGAUAGGAGGUUCUUCGAGAGGAUUAGAGUCUGAAGUAGGGGUAGUGAACCUAUUUCAUCAGGUAUCUCCCCAGAAAUCGAAUUGUUUGAGAGAUCCAUCUGCACUAGGGAAGUAAGAUUUGCUACGCAACUUGAUAGUUUUCCUCUGAGUUGCACUGACCUUAGCUUCAAGGAUGCCACGCGGAUUGGGAUGGCCGUGCUGCAGGUGACCCCUUCCCAUUUGCAGAAGUUCAGUGAGUCGUUGCUCCAUGAUCCUAGGACACCAGCAGAGUUCCCGGAGAGACCAGACUUGAAGCAAAGGAGGGCUUGCCGGUCAUCCUCUGACCUAUUGCUGGCCUGCGCUGAUGAUAGCGUUGCUGUGUUGGAGGAGAUUAAUAUGAAGAUGCUGCACAGAAGGAAGUGUGCAUGGCGAUGAGAUGGAGAUUUCGAAUCAAGAACCCCAGGAACCAUGCCUCUAUGCUGAUAGUAUGCUUUUGAUUUGUGAUUUUUUGCCAUGAAAUGCGUUCGGAGUAGAGAAACUUGUACAUUUCUACUUUGCUCAACGAGAAAACUCAGAAAAGUCUAUAGAACAGAACAAGUGAACAUCCAUAGCGAGAGGGACAUGUGAGAUCAGGAAUCUGUGCACAAUCUGCCCUACCAUUAUAUAUUAUUAUAUUACAUUUUGUUCGCAAUACAAAUUCACCA